rnacentral:rRNA from 1 species
UACGGAGGGUGCAAGCGUUAUCCGGAAUGAUUGGGCGUAAAGAGUCCGCAGGUGGCACUUCAAGUCUGUCGUCAAAGACUGGGGCUUAACCCUGGAAAGGCGGUGGAAACUGAAGCGCUAGAGUGCGGUAGGGGUAGAGGGAAUUCCCGGUGUAGCGGUGAAAUGCGUAGAGAUCGGGAAGAACAUCGGUGGCGAAAGCGCUCUACUGGACCGCAACUGACACUCAGGGACGAAAGCUAGGGGAGCGAAUGGG